GACAGCCUCUGAUUGGUCGACACACUCUUAGCCCAGUAAAUAAAGUCAUGAUGGCCAGUGCUAACAGAAAAAGAUGACUAAAUAAUAAACUUUCAGUUGUGGAUAUGUCGUUAUGGAAUUAUUGUGGAAAGUUUUCAAAAAGACACUGAAGUUCCAGGCCGGAUAACAAAGCGUCUGGAAGGGCUAAGAUCAAACAGAAGCCCUCCAGAUGUUAGCCUUCAGGCUAAAACAUACAGAACGACGCUAGCUUGAAGCGACGCGGAGAUAUAACGUUAUAUUAGGAGAUUACGUAACGUGAUUAAUGGAUUCAUCAUUAUGGAUUUAUUGUACAAAGACACUGUUGUUCCAGGCUGGAUGAAGACACUUCUAAAAGGCCCACGAUCGCAUGGAAGACCUCGUUGAAACGGCGCCUUUCUCUUCUAUUAAAACAAAAAGUACAUUCCGGUUGAAGAAUGCUGUGAGAGUCAGUGAGCCCUGAGCCAUGCGUCCUGUUGUGGUAACUGGCAUCUUUCCUCUGGUGGUGCUGAUGUACAUGCCGAACACUGUGGAGACUUUAAGCUCUCCUUCACCUCCUCCACAACGCUCCCUGGGGAUCCCAUCACGCCCACAUUCUCCCAUGGAUACUUCAACUCUCCCUCUCAUCACCGUGGGGACCUAGUGAGCCACUUGCUCCCAGCAGGCAUUGGUCCAUAUCAUGAAUCCACCAAUAACAUGGUGUUAUCACCUGCACUAAUAGAGUCAUUUAGCUGUUUUGCAUUCCUUUGAAUGCCUCUUAUGUUCCUGGACUGACAAAAGACUUAAAUGACUCCCAGGUUCAGUGUUUCUAGUCAAGAUGCACUUCAUUUGAAAAACCUAUUAGGGGCUCAUUGUCAAUUAAUUAACAAUGGUUCUGACCAUCUAAUUCGCUUUGAAAAUAGUUUUUUACUUUAUUUUCAACGCCAGUUUGGUAACUUUUCCCUAUUUUCAU